UAAUCGCAGAUCAGCAUGCUGCGGUGAAUAACGUUCCCGGGCCUUGUACACACCGCCCGUCACACCAUGGGAGUCGGUAACACCCGAAGCCUGUAGUCUAACCGCAAGGAGGACGCAGUCGAAGGUGGGAUUGAUGACUGGGGUGAAGUCGUAACAAGGUAUC
rnacentral:rRNA from 1 species